GACGUAGGGGGCCAGCGUUGUUCGGAAUUACUGGGUGUAAAGGGUUCGUAGGCGGUGUGGCAAGUCGGGAGUGAAAUCUCUGGGCUCAACCCAGAGACUGCUUCCGAAACUGCUGUGCUUGAGUGUGAGAGAGGCUCGUGGAAUUGCAGGUGUAGCGGUGAAAUGCGUAGAUAUCUGCAGGAACAUCCGAGGCGAAAGCGGCUCGCUGGAUCGCAACUGACGCUGAGGGACGAAAGCUAGGGGAGCAAACAG
rnacentral:rRNA from 1 species